ACCCAAGCUUAUCCCAAGAACCUGAAGAGUCACAAAGUAUACAGCACCGUCUACAAACAUCUGUUGAAGGAGUUUGGCUCAGAGAAAAUACUCCAACUGGCCGUGUCGACUCAGGACUCCACUUUCAAUAGGAUUCUUGUGAAGUCAUUGAGCAAGGAGCUUCUCCACAGUUGUAACGAGGCAUCAAGAGCAGCCUCAAGAACAUCUUUCGAAGCCACCAGGCCAGAACCUCUUCUCAUGGCUGAAGAUGUGAAGGCUACCAGAGGGAAGCUGUCUUUCCUACAAAGGCUUGCCAGACUGAAAUUCAACUUAAAGCCAUUCAUGAUGGGAAACAAGAAGAAUUCCCGCCAUUCUGAAUCCAAAGACCAGACUACUGCUGAAGAGAUCAUGUUGGCACAUCCUGCCACAUUUGGACUCCCAGAGGGUCUUCCCUCCACCUCUCAACAGGAGAAGCCUCGCAAACGUCCCCUUCUAAUCAGGAUGUUUUCCACCAUCUCCAUAGGCCUAUCCAAGCCAUUCAAACGGUUUUCAAAGCAAGCUUAAUACAACAAUUUCCUUUAAUACAGUAAUAUUUGCAUUGAAUUGAUGGCCUUUGUCUUAUUUUGUGUUGCCCUGUUAACACAUUUGAUUAGAAAAUACAUAGUAUAUUUAGUUUAGUUUAUUAUGCAGUCAUAGUCACGGUGUAGGCUAAACAAAGUAAUGUUGUCCUGAAUAAUGUAUAGAACAUGCACCCCCACCCACACACACACAAACAGUGUGAUUCAUUGAACACACACACAUAGUACUUCAGUUAUGUCCCACAACCAACAUUCGACCAGAUAUCAAUGAUUCAGUGUAAAAUACAUGUACUGUAAAAUAAACCGUAUUUAAUUUACAACCAAUAAAAUAAUACAUGAUGCAGGACACUCAGUUAUAAGGGAAUUAACUGGUUUAACUUCUCAAACAGAAACACACACAUUUCCAUUUUCUGUGGAUCGCCCAUGUUUACAUUUUACUGAAUGCCAGUCUGACCUUUGACCUGUAGAUGGCAGUAAAGGUCUACUUUUGCUGCAGAUCCUCUUCUAAAGCUCAAACCUCUCUGGACAAGGAGCCGAAACAUUUGUCCCUAGUGAGAGAGUGUGUGUGUGUGUGUGUGUGUGUGGCAAGAAAAGGGA